rnacentral:rRNA from 1 species
UAGAUAAGGGUUCUUGCGCCGAAAAUGUAACGGGGCUCAAGCUGUGCACCGAAGUCAUGGAUUCGACUAUCAGUUGUCAGUGAUCAGCGAUCGAUGCGUGAAAGCGUUGCGAUCGUUGUUUGCUGAUAACUGACUUGUCGAGUGGUAGCGGAGCGUUCCGUAAGCCUGUGAAGGGAUACCGGCAAGGUGUCCUGGAGGUAUCGGAAGUGAGAAUGCUGACAUGAGUAGCGACAAACAGAGUGAGAGACUCUGUCGCCGUAAGUCCAAGGGUUCCUGCGUCAAGUUAAUCUGCGCAGGGUUAGCCGGCCCCUAAGGUGAGGCGGACACCGCGUAACCGAUGGGAACCACGUAAACAUUCGUGGGCCAGGGAGAGUGUGACGGAUGCCAAGUUUUGUUCGUGCUUAUUGGAUUGCACGGGCAGGGUAAGGCGUUCCAGGAAAGAGCCCUCCCGUAGACCGUACUCCAAACCGACACAGGUGGACUGGUAGAGAAUACCAAGGCGCUUGAGAGAAGUAUGCUGAAGGAACUAGGCAAAUUGCCCUCGUAACUUCGGAAGAAGAGGGCCCAUCCACGCGCAAGCGUGAGGUGGGGGCACAGGCCAGGGGGUGGCGACUGUUUAUUAAAAACACAGGACUCUGCGAAGUCGGUAAGACGACGUAUAGGGUCUGACGCCUGCCCGGUGCCGGAAGGUUAAGAGGAGGGGUGCAAGNNCCGUAACUAUAACGGUCCUAAGGUAGCGAAAUUCCUUGUCGGGUAAGUUCCGACCUGCACGAAAGGCGUAACGACUUCCCCACUGUCUCCAGCAUAUGCUCAGCGAAAUUGAACUCCCCGUGAAGAUGCGGGGUACCCGCGGUCAGACGGAAAGACCCCGUGCACCUUUACUGCAGCUUUGCAUUGGCAUUAGGGACGGCAUGUGUAGGAUAGGCGGCAGGCUUUGAAGUUCAGGCGCUAGCUUGGAUGGAGCCACCCUUGAAAUACCGCCCUUAUCUUCUCUGAUGUCUAACCGUGGCGCUUACAACGCCCGGGACCCUGCAUGGCGGGCAGUUUGACUGGGGCGGUCGCCUCCGAAAGAGUAACGGAGGCGCGCGAUGGCAGGCUCAGGCUGGUCGGAAAUCAGCCGUUGAGUGCAAUGGCAUAAGCCUGCCUGACUGCGAGAGCGACGGUUCGAGCAGAGACGAAAGUCGGUCAUAGUGAUCCGGUGAUCCCGUGUGGAAGGGUCAUCGCUCAACGGAUAAAAGGUACGCCGGGGAUAACAGGCUGAUGACGCCCAAGAGUCCAUAU